CUCAAAACGCAAAACGCAAACCUCAAAUCAGAAACGCUAAAACCUCCAGCGACGGAUCCAAAACGCAUUGCAAAAUCUCUGAAGCAGUAGCACUCAGCUUGAAUCUGGCUUCAAUGAAGGUCGAUAAGAGCUGAAGAACUUGAUGGAAAUCAGAGAAUUUGCUUUGUCUCUGGUCGAGUUAUCGAAGAAGAAUAGCUAGCCCAUUUGCUUUCAAUGUGAACUAAUCGGUUGCCCAGAUGCGGGAAGACUAGAGAUUGAUAGAAGUUGUGUUGGAAUCAGAACAAGGGCAGGGAAGUUUUGGUUUGUUCGGACUACGCAACAUAAAGUUUGAUGCAGGAAAGUAUGGAUGUACAACGAAGGUGCUGGGUUUGAAAUUUAUGUCGUCAAGGCAUAAACAAACAAAGAGGAAUCCUUGUAAAAUGAAUAACACCAGCGAGUGCAGUAGCAGGAUUGGACGAUGACGAGUGUAGUAGCAGAACACGAGUACGAGGGCAGUAGCAGAACUGGACGAGUAUGAGUGCAGCGAGUGCGUAGUAAGAUUGGACGAGUGCAGUAGCAGGAUUAUGCGAUGACGAGGGCAGUAGCAAAACUGGACGAGUAUGAGUGCAGUAGCAGGAUUAGGCGAUGACGAGGGCAGUAGCAGAACUGGACGAGUAUGAGUGCAGCGAGUGCAGUAGCAUGAUUGGAUGAGUGCAGUAGCAGGGUUAGACGAGUUCAGUAGCAUGAUUGGACGAUGACGAGUGCAGUAGCAGAACACGAGUAAGAGGGCAGUAGCAGAACUAGACGGAGUAUGAGUGCAGCGAGUGCAGUAGCAGGAUUGGACGAGUGCAGUAGCAGGAUUGGACGAGUGCAGUAGCCGAACGUGAGUAGCAGAACUAGACACGAGUACAAGUGAUGUAGCAGAACUUGAUGAGUAUGAGUGCAGCGAGUGCAGUAGCAGGAUUGGACGAGUGCAG